AGUAGGUCCCAAGGGUUGGGCUGUUCGCCCAUUAAAGCGGUACGCGAGCUGGGUUCAGAACGUCGUGAGACAGUUCGGUCCCUAUCCGGCGUGGGCGUAGGAUAUUUGAGAGGAGCUGUCCUUAGUACGAGAGGACCGGGAUGGACGGGCCGCUGGUGUACCUGUUGCAGUGCCAACUGCAUGGCAGGGUAGCCAAGCCUGGAAGGGAUAAACGCUGAAGGCAUCUAAGCGUGAAGCCCCCCUCAAGAUGAGAUAUCCCAUUCUAUAAAGAAGUAAGACCCCUUGAAGACGACGAGGUGGAUAGGGCAGAGGUGGAAGUGCAGCAAUGUAUGGAGCUGACUGCUACUAAUCGGUCGAGGGCUUGACCUA
rnacentral:rRNA from 1 species